GACGAACGCUGGCGGCGUGCMUAACACAUGCAAGUCGAACGGAGAAUUUCAAUAAGCUUGCUUAGAGGAAUUUUUAGUGGCGGACGGGUGAGUAACGCGUGGGUAACCUACCCAUAAACUCGGGACAACCCUUGGAAACGAGGGCUAAUACCGAAUAAGCUUUAGGCUUGGCAUCAAGCUUAAAGAAAAGGUGGCCUCUGUAGAUGCUACCGAUUAUGGAUGGACCCGCGUCUGAUUAGCUAGUUGGUGGGGUAAAGGCCUACCAAGGCGACGAUCAGUAGCCGGCCUGAGAGGGUGAACGGCCACACUGGGACUGAGACACGGCCCAGACUCCUACGGGAGGCAGCAGUGGGGAAUCUUCCGCAAUGGACGAAAGUCUGACGGAGCAACGCCGCGUGUAUGAUGGAGGUCUUCGGAUUGUAAAGUACUGUCUUUGGGGAAGAAUGAUUGGUUUGAAAAUAUUGAGCCAAUAUGACGGUACCCAAGGAGGAAGCCUCGGCUAACUACGUGCCAGCAGCCGCGGUAAUACGUAGGGGGCAAGCGUUGUCCGGAAUUAUUGGGCGUAAGGGCGCGUAGGCGGAUCGUUAAGUCCGGUGUGAAAGAUCAGGGCUCAACCCUGAGAGUGCAUCGGAAACUGGGGAUCUUGAGGACAGGAAAGGAAAGUGGAAU
rnacentral:rRNA from 1 species